rnacentral:rRNA from 1 species
AAAUUGAAGAGUUUGAUCAUGGCUCAGAUUGAACGCUGGCGGCAGGCCUAACACAUGCAAGUCGAACGGUAACAGGAAUCAGCUUGCUGAUUCGCUGACGAGUGGCGGACGGGUGAGUAAUGUCUGGGAAACUGCCUGAUGGAGGGGGAUAACUACUGGAAACGGUAGCUAAUACCGCAUAAUGUCGCAAGACCAAAAAGGGGGACCUUCGGGCCUCUUGCCAUC